GACGAACGCUGGCGGCGUGCUUAACACAUGCAAGUCGAACGGUGAAGCUCCAGCUUGCUGGAGUGGAUCAGUGGCGAACGGGUGAGUAACACGUGAGCAACCUGCCCCAGACUCUGGAAUAAGCGCUGGAAACGGCGUCUAAUACUGGAUACGAGAUCAAGCCGCAUGGUUAUGGUCUGGAAAGUUUUUCGGGUUGGGAUGGGCUCGCGGCCUAUCAGCUUGUUGGUGAGGUAAUGGCUCACCAAGGCGACGACGGGUAGCCGGCCUGAGAGGGCGACCGGCCACACUGGGACUGAGACACGGCCCAGACUCCUACGGGAGGCAGCAGUGGGGAAUAUUGCACAAUGGGCGAAAGCCUGAUGCAGCGACGCCGCGUGAGGGAUGACGGCCUUCGGGUUGUAAACCUCUUUCAGCAGGGAAGAAGCGAAAGUGACGGUACCUGCAGAAGAAGCACCGGCUAACUACGUG
rnacentral:rRNA from 1 species